UAAAAAGACGUUCAUGCCAGCUUGUCAUCGGCAUGAUAUAUGUUACCACUGUGUGAGUAUAACUAUUUACCUGAUAUCACCAUUCGUUGGCCUUUUGUUAGUUUUUUUAUUCCAGCGUCACCGAUGAGUCUUUUGUAGACGAAACGCGCGUCUGGCGCAAAGAUAAGUUUCAAUCCUAGUAUCUAUGAUGAUGAAAUUUUAAAUAAGUCGAUAUUUUAUUUACGAAUUGCUUUAUGCAUUCAAACAUAAAAAAUCAUAACAAGUUUAGCUUUCUAAAACGCCUUUGAGUGUUCCUCUAUUUCAUUCUUUUAUUAAAGUAUGCUGUGAUCUAUAUGGUUGUGUAUGUAUAGAAACUCGUCAUGAUAUGUUAUCACUGUGUGAUUUUAACUAUUUACCUGAAUCACCAUUCGUUUAAUCAAGUCGAUAUUUUAUUUGCGAAUUGAUUUAUGCAUAUUUUCCGGACCAUAUGAGUAUUGGACCAUACGCGUAUGGUUAUGACCAUAUGGGUAUAUACUCAUAUGGUCCGACCAUACGCAUAUGGUCCGACCGUACGCGUAUGGUCGGGGUAAUUAACACUCUGUUACAGUUUACUUUGAAUACUUCUAAACUCUUCAUAUGGUAUAACCUUAAGAAUACACUAUCAUAUAGGUCAUUUCAUUACCAUAUUAUAAUAAAGAGAUUAACUGAAUAAAAGUAAGAAGUUUCACAUAAUUAAUUUUACUACCUAGUCAAAACUAUAAUAAACACAUUUUAUACCGAUGUCCAUUACCGAUUUGUUAUAACGAGUGAAAAGCAAUAUGUCGACUUAAAAAGAUAACUUCAAAAAAUUGCUCAAUAAACUGUUACUCAAGAAGUCACUGACAAGGAACAUAUUUUAUUAAAGUUGUUCUGUGAAUAUGGGGUCAUAUGACGAUAUUUGAAAUCUAGAGCUUCACAAACACCGUAGACACAUCGGAAUAACCCAAAACCUCGGAAUCGCUGCAAGCAUCUGCAAAGAAGGCUAUUUUUUCAUUUGCAAACAAAAGGUGUAACUGAAAAGGAUCGUGCACAACCAUGACGUGCAAAUGCGAAAAAAGUUAUGUUACCCUGUGGAAGUAAAUGUCACCAUAAGCCUAGCUGCAAGAAUGUAAUAAGCGAAGAAAAUUAACUUUGGCAUCAAUAUUUAAUUUUAACGCGUAGCCAUAUUUGAAAAAACAUACCUAUAUGGUCAAAAUACUCAUAUGGUCCGACCAUACGCGUACGGUCGGAUCAUACGCGUAUGGUCAUAUGAGUAUUUGGACAAUGCCCAUAUGGGUAUAUAUUCAUAUGGUGUAUUGCAGUCAUGUUACGCUAUUUGAGAUCUAGAGCUUCUUAAAAACACUGUAGACAUAUCGGAAUGGCCCAAAACCUCUGUAUCACUGUACACAGCUACAAAAAGGCUAGCUUUUCACUCGCAAACAAAAAGUGUAAAUGAAAAGGAUCGUGCACAACCAAGACUUUCAAAUGCAAAAAAGCUUUGAUAUCGUGUGGAAGUAAAUGUCACCCCAAGCCUACCAUGCAUGCAAGAAUGUAAUUAGCGAUGAAAACUAACUAUGGCAUCAAUAUUUAAUUUUUACGUAGUAUUUGAAUUAUAAAAUAAUACAUUGUCAUGUAACCAUCAUUGCUGUUUAAGAUAAAGUUUUUGUAUAAUUGAAACUUUUAUAAUGUAAUACAAAAAUAUAUAUACCUAUAUGGUCCAAAUACUCAUAUUGUCCGGUCCGUUAAUAACUAAACGAGUAUUAUACUCAUAUGGUCCUACCAUAUAAGUAAACCCAUAUGGUCCAAAUACUCGUAUGGUCCGGAACACAUACAAACAUUAAGCUUUCUAAAAAGCGUUUGAGGGUUUCGAUAAACUCAUUGUUACAAUGUCAAUGUAUCAUUCUUUUAAAUACCCUGUGAUCUAUAUAGUUAUGUAAGUAUGGAGAAUAUGUUAUUUUUCUCAUUUGGGCAUGUUUUCUCAUGUGUGGUAUCAACAGCCUGUCUCAGAUAGGACGUUUUUAUCAAUUAUGGACUUUUGACCAGGUCAAAACGUUAUAUAUGAAUCUUUUCAGAUUAUAUUGAUCGAGGACGAAAUCCGAGGUUCAAUAUAAUGUAAUAGGUCCAGGUCAUUAAAGCAAAAAGAAUGUUACCACACCUUGAAGCAACCAAUGAGAACCAAUAUCUAUUAUGUAAUGAUUUCAAGAUGUCGCUCAAUUUAUUGUUUUCGUGAUCUCGAUUUCAAAUAGAGUUUUUGGAGGUCCUUAAAAAGCUUUCUAAAUUUUAUCUGUUGACUUUUUUGAUAAUUAUUUUAUUUAUUUCUUUGUUUUCGUUUAUCAUUUAGAAAUAUUGAUUUUCUAAUCAUUUAACAUCUCACCGAUAGAAAUUGUUGAUUAUCUACUGGGGGCUGAAAUUUAUUUCUAUUCCGUUAUAUUUGGGGUUUUCCCUUAUCUAUUUCUAUCUUUAGUAACUGUGGUUUGUAGAACAAGUUUUGUAAAACAGUUUGAAGAACUGGUUGGACAGUAUUAUAUUAUAAGUCUUUAGUAAGUAUGCACGAGCAUUUCAUAGGCGGGAAUCACGGGUGGGGUAUAUAAGUCCGAUACUUGGAUAAUUUGUAUCAGGUUUCUCACAGUAACUUCAAGUAACAACACGUUCUGCAUAGUAUAUAUGAAGUUAUGCGAGCAAACCAAACCUACAUUUUGACUUGCCUCUUAUUUCGCCAUGUAGAAAUGUUUUAAAUUCGGACGAAUUUACGAGGGAGAGUUUAAGUAACGAAAAUGUUGGUACCUUUGUUAUUGUAUUUCCGGCUGAAGUAAACAAAUCUAUUUCUUUCUUGUAGUUUCGAACAGUUGAUCAGCAAUCAAAACAAAAACAAUGGUAUCAUACGAAAAAUCCACAAUGGCUCUAUACUCUAAACAUUAUUUCAUCUGCACGAAAUGCAAAAUGUACGACGUUAUUUAUGCAAUGCAAUAACAAUAAAAUGAAAAUUAACGUUACAAAACUAACACCAACAGUGCUUUGUGCAGUCUCAACUAAUUCCACAAUCCAUGAAAAGUAUGUAUACUUUUUUCUUCAUCAUGAUUUUUAAAAAAGCAAAACAUCAGAUAAGUUUUACUAAACUCACUGUUACAAUGUCAAUAUAUCAUCCUCAGAUAUAAGAAGAUGUGGUAUGAAUGUCAAUAAGAUAACUCUCCAUCUAGGUCACAAUUUGUAAAAGUAAACCCGCCGUUACCACUAUAGGUCUAAGUAAGGCCUUUAACACAGAGCCUUGGUCCGGAUAUGUUAAGACUUUCCAUACAAUGUGAUAUGUUAAUACAAAUAUAACUACAAUUUAUAAAAAAACUAAUUUUAAUGUAUUUAAUGAUAUCUAUAUGUGUUGUAUCAUUUUAAUUUAGAAAAUAGUUUCCGCGAUUUUUCUUUUCAAAUAUAGUGCUUCCAUUUUCAGGCUGCCGUGUUCAGUGAAAGUAGACGGUAUUGUGACCAGCUUUUCCGUGGUGAUAUGCUAUCUAUAUGUUCAAAGAAAUUCCUAACAAGGAGAAUCUGUAGAGCGUUUGCUCACUUGUACUAUGUUGGAGUAAGAGUUGGCGGAAAAUCACGAUAUCACGAAGAAAAGUCAGCUGAUUGUGAACAUGACUGGAUAAAGAGUUGCAUCGUUU
rnacentral:lncRNA from 1 species